rnacentral:rRNA from 1 species
AAAUUGAAGAGUUUGAUCAUGGCUCAGAUUGAACGCUGGCGGCAGGCCUAACACAUGCAAGUCGAACGGUAACAGGAAGCAGCUUGCUGCUUUGCUGACGAGUGGCGGACGGGUGAGUAAUGUCUGGGAAACUGCCUGAUGGAGGGGGAUAACUACUGGAAACGGUGGCUAAUACCGCAUAACGUCGCAAGACCAAAGAGGGGGACCUUCGGGCCUCUUGCCAUCAGAUGUGCCCAGAUGGGAUUAGCUUGUUGGUGAGGUAACGGCUCACCAAGGCGACGAUCCCUAGCUGGUCUGAGAGGAUGACCAGCCACACUGGAACUGAGACACGGUCCAGACUCCUACGGGAGGCAGCAGUGGGGAAUAUUGCACAAUGGGCGCAAGCCUGAUGCAGCCAUGCCGCGUGUAUGAAGAAGGCCUUCGGGUUGUAAAGUACUUUCAGCGGGGAGGAAGGUGUUGCGGUUAAUAACCGCAGCAAUUGACGUUACCCGCAGAAGAAGCACCGGCUAACUCCGUGCCAGCAGCCGCGGUAAUACGGAGGGUGCAAGCGUUAAUCGGAAUUACUGGGCGUAAAGCGCACGCAGGCGGUCUGUCAAGUCGGAUGUGAAAUCCCCGGGCUCAACCUGGGAACUGCAUUCGAAACUGGCAGGCUUGAGUCUUGUAGAGGGGGGUAGAAUUCCAGGUGUAGCGGUGAAAUGCGUAGAGAUCUGGAGGAAUACCGGUGGCGAAGGCGGCCCCCUGGACAAAGACUGACGCUCAGGUGCGAAAGCGUGGGGAGCAAACAGGAUUAGAUACCCUGGUAGUCCACGCCGUAAACGAUGUCUACUUGGAGGUUGUGCCCUUGAGGCGUGGCUUCCGGAGCUAACGCGUUAAGUAGACCGCCUGGGGAGUACGGCCGCAAGGUUAAAACUCAAAUGAAUUGACGGGGGCCCGCACAAGCGGUGGAGCAUGUGGUUUAAUUCGAUGCAACGCGAAGAACCUUACCUGGUCUUGACAUCCACAGAACUUUCCAGAGAUGGAUUGGUGCCUUCGGGAACUGUGAGACAGGUGCUGCAUGGCUGUCGUCAGCUCGUGUUGUGAAAUGUUGGGUUAAGUCCCGCAACGAGCGCAACCCUUAUCCUUUGUUGCCAGCGAUUAGG